rnacentral:rRNA from 1 species
AGCGGCGGAUGGGUGAGUAACACGUGGGGAACCUGCCCCUAAGUCUGGGAUACCAUUUGGAAACUGGUGCUAAUACCGGAUAAUAAAGCAGAUCGCAUGAUCAGCUUUUGAAAGGCGGCGUAAGCUGUCGCUAAGGGAUGGCCCCGCGGUGCAUUAGCUAGUUGGUAAGGUAACGGCUUACCAAGGCGACGAUGCAUAGCCGAGUUGAGAGACUGAUCGGCCACAUUGGGACUGAGACACGGCCCAAACUCCUACGGGAGGCAGCAGUAGGGAAUCUUCCACAAUGGACGCAAGUCUGAUGGAGCAACGCCGCGUGAGUGAAGAAGGUUUUCGGAUCGUAAAGCUCUGUUGUUGGUGAAGAAGGAUAGAGGUAGUAACUGGCCUUUAUUUGACGGUAAUCAACCAGAAAGUCACGGCUAACUACGUGCCAGCAGCCGCGGUAAUACGUAGGUGGCAAGCGUUGUCCGGAUUUAUUGGGCGUAAAGCGAGCGCAGGCGGAAAAAUAAGUCUAAUGUGAAAGCCCUCGGCUUAACUGAGGAACUGCAUCGGAAACUGUUUUUCUUGAGUGCAGAAGAGGAGAGUGGAACUCCAUGUGUAGCGGUGGAAUGCGUAGAUAUAUGGAAGAACACCAGUGGCGAAAGCGGCUCUCUGGUCUGCAACUGACGCUGAGGCUCGAAAGCAUGGGUAGCGAACAGGAUUAGAUACCCUGGUAGUCCAUGCCGUAAACGAUGAGUGC